rnacentral:pre_miRNA from 1 species
GUAGUACUCCCUCUGUCCCAAAAUUCUUGUCUUAGAUUUGUCUAGAUACGGAUGUACCUAAUACUAAAACGUGACUUGAUACAUCCGUAUUUAGACAAAUCUAAGACAAGAAUUUUGGGACGGAGGGAGUAGUAA